AUGAUUGAAUCAAAGCUAUUUUGUUUUCUAGGGUAUCUGCAAUCAAUGGAAAGACACAUUGUUUUUCUCUUUCCAUAUUUAUCUGUCAGGAUUUUUAGUAGUGAUUUCCUCCCUACAUUUUGGUGUUGUGUGAUCUUUGCUCUCCCCCAGAUGACAAAUUUACUCGAUAGCAGGUUCAAAGAUAUAGAGAUGCAAGGUAUAGCACAAACUGAAGAAACAGGGAUUGCUUGCACAAACUAUAUAAAUUGUGAAAAAACAAAACCACUGAGCAGAUCAUCGUCUGUCCUUAUUUUGAAUUACAUAAACAGGAAUAAUAGUUACAUGAUUUUUUUAACAAAGAAAAUGGUAAAUUGUUAG
rnacentral:rRNA from 1 species